UACGUAGGCAGCAAGCGUUGUUCGGAGUUACUGGGCGUAAAGAGUGCGUAGGCGGUGUCGAAAGUUUGGCGUGAAAUCUCCCGGCUUAACUGGGAGGGUGCGCCGAAAACUGCGAUGCUGGAGUGUGGGAAAGGCAAGCGGAAUUCCUGGUGUAGCGGUGAAAUGCGUAGAUAUCAGGAGGAACACCGGCGGUGUAGACGGCUUGCUAGACCAUAACUGACGCUGAGGCACGAAAGCGUGGGUAGCAAACAGG
rnacentral:rRNA from 2 species